GGCUGGUUAGCUCAGUUGGUCAGAGCAGGGUACUUAUAAAGCCAAGGUCAUGGGUUCAAUCCCCACACUGGUCA